UGUAAAUAUCUACGUAUCUGUACACACACAUGUGUGCUUUAACUCAUUCAAGUUACGAAUUUUCAGAACGAAUCUCGGAAUAUUUGAAAGCUUGUGGUGGAUUUAGAAGGCUUCUACGUUGUUAAAGAUUUCUGGAGCAGAGGAGUAAGACAUAGGGGAAAAUGAAAAAGCCCCAAAAGCUAUUCCAUUCUUAAAUGGAAAAUAGAUCGAAGAGUUAUAUUGCAAAAAGAAAUACAAAAAAUAAAAUAUCGAAGAAACGAAGAAACGAAGACGGGACGGAAAGAGUAAACGAUAUACACAUGAGCUGUUCUUCAAUACACCGAUUUUUGAAGGUUUGGCUUUUUCGUUCGAUGUUUUCAAUGCCGGUUCUUCUGUGGUCAACAAACGAAGGCUGUAGCUGUGUCUGCAAAACCCCUCUACAGCUAAAUCUCGCGCUUAGAACAGGCAAACGCGGAGGGCGCCGGAGCAGCGGUGGAAAACGAAAUUGAAGAGCCCUGACUGGCGACGAAAAUGUGUGUGCUGCGUGACGUGGCCAGCAAAACUUCAGUGAUGGAUGGAGCUCUGUUGACGCAAUGGGUGACUUGGUGGGGGGUCAACACGGGCCGCUUGCUGCGAUGAUCGGCUGGCAGCAGGCCCGUGGGGUCAUAGGGGAGUUCGCAAGAAUCCCGACACUAUGCCUAACUGCCGAUUCUCGCAGUCCCAUGGAGAUUCUCAGUUGAUUCUCGUUUGAGUUCAACAAACGAUGUCGCCGUUAGGUCUUGUGGAUUUUUGCAUUAUCAGCAGAUUUGGCAGCCAUGGGAGAAGUCGAACAGAUUUCGACCGUCCUGAGGGUGUUGAUAUGAGGAGGGAACCGGUUCGGUGGGUGCAUUCAUGAGCUUCCCUGGGUUGGUUGGCACUCUUAACUGAUUUGAAUUGUUUUGUAGCUUGUCGAAGAAUGGCUUAACUCGUAUCUAUCUCGUGUUGCAAAUCUGAUACAAGAUAAUCUGGAUGCAUAGCUUCUUGAGACCCAACCCAAAAUCGGUGGCACCAAUCUCUGAAGCAGGUUUUUUGAUCACCAAGGAUUAAAAUUAACUUCGAACGGCAAGAAGUACUGGAUCGUGUGCGUUAACAAAUUUUCAGAUAUCCGCAACAACAUUGACAAAGGGUUUUUGAUCACCCUUCAUUAUAUUUGAUAAUGUGGAACAGUACAAACUGCCCAAGUGGCUGCUGAAUUUUGAAUAUGCUUCACCACGGAAUUGCAUUAUCAAAGCCUUUGCUUCCGUUUUGUGUUAGUAUGACACCAUUCAACAUCAUUACAGCACAUCUGUGAUCCUCUAAGCUGUUGAGGUCUUUAAUGUGGAAACUAUUAAGAGCUUCUACUGUGGGAGGAUUCUGAAAAGCUGAACAAAUGUGAUCGCAAAGAGUAAAAGUAUUCAGGAGACGUGUGCCAUGGGUUGUCAGACAUACUUGAGUAGAAUUUUUAUCAAUUCCGGAUUACCGGCAAGUAGAAUUCAUUGUGAUCUCAAAACACGCUUAUUGAAGGACCCAAAAUUUACGUAGGAACUCUGGUAGGGUUAGUGGUUGUCACAACCAAAGUGACACCGCAAGGACCCAUUGAAUGUAAGCCACAGUCGGUUGCACGACCCAAUUCAGGGAAUCCAGCUCCAAAUCUUCUCA